UCGACCUCGGAUCGGGUAGGGAUACCCGCUAAACUUAAGCAUAUCAAUAAGCGGAGGAAAAGAAAGCAACUGCGAUUGCCCUAGUAACGGCGAGUGAAGCGGCAGCAGCCCAGAUUUGGAAUCUGGCCCCCUUGCGGGGCCCGAGUUGUAAUCUGCAGAGGAAGCGUCUGGCGCGGCGCCGGCCUAGUUCCCUGGAACGGGACGCCGUAGAGGGUGACAGCCCCGUACGGUCGGCCGCCAAGCCUGUGUGUCGCUCCUUCGAAGAGUCGCGUAGUUUGGGAAUGCUGCGCAAAGUGGGAGGUAUGCUCCUCCUAAGGCUAAAUACCGGCCAGAGACCGAUAGCGCACAAGUAGAGUGAUCGAAAGAUGAAAAGUACCUUGAAAAUGGGGUUAAACAGUACGUGAAAUUGCCAAAGGGGAAGCGCUCGUGGCCAGACUCGCGCCCGGCGGAUCAUCCGGCUCUCCCGCCGGUGCACUCUGCCGGGCUCGGGCCAGCGUCGGUCGGCGCCGGUACUGAAAGGCGGUGCGAACGUGGCUCC
rnacentral:rRNA from 1 species